rnacentral:misc_RNA from 1 species
UAAGAAGAGGAAGAUUGUUUUUGCCGAUGAGGCUGGUGGAAAGCUAUGUGAUGUCAAGACUUUUAGGGAUGGCAUGGAUUUUUUUGUGGAGGCUAAGAGUGAGAAAACGGGAACUUUUGAUUAAGUAAGAGAUGAAGAUCUUGCUUGCUGUGCAAUUGUACAUUUAAUUAUGGCGUUCAAAUGCCAAAUUUGAUGCUCAAAGAGAAGGACAAAACGUAUGGGGCUGUUAGGCCUAUGAUCUAGACAUAGUCUGAAGUUAUGCCUGACUGGUGUAUUAGAGGCAAAUGGAGAAAGCUGCUACAGGAUAGGAAGAGUUGCGACCAAUUUUAUCCUCAGGCAAUCCCGGUCUGAUCUUUCAUUGUUCAUUUUUUGUUCUCUUUCUAACCUGGAUAUUGCAUUGAGCUAUGAUGUACACAUUUUCUUAGAAGCAAAUAAAAAUAGCUAUUCAUCCUUGAUGACAUUUAUACAUGCAUCAAGAGGGAAUUCUAACCUUUUACAUUGGAAAUUCCCCUAGCGGCUUCUCCUGAAAAAAUUCCUUCAGUUUUGGUCCGCAUUCGAUGUUUGUCUUGUAUUGUAAUGGUUUUCUCUUUCUUCAAAGGGUAAUCAUUUCAUCCAUAUGCUCCAAUUCAUCAUAAUUGGCAGUUUAG